GGCUCAGUAGCUCAGAGGUUAGAGCGGGGGACUCAUAAGCCUCAGGUCGUAGGUUCAAAUCUUACCUGAGCCA
rfam:Cyanidioschyzon merolae chloroplast DNA, complete genome, strain: 10D.